rnacentral:tRNA from 1 species
GCCCGCUUAGCCCAGUGGUCAAGGCGCCAGCCUUCUACAGUUGGCAAUUUUGUCGCGUACGUAGUAGUCAGCUGGAGAUCGGGGGUUCGAUCCCCCCAGCGGGUA